ACCCCCAAGUGACUUUGACUUUAUUUUUCCUUUAAAUACUCCACCCACUGAGCUGCUUUUGGCUCAGACAGAGGAGCAUGCGGAAUACUCCAGGCACGGCACGUUAAGGGUCAGGAGAAGGCAAAUCCAAAUAUGAAGAAGACAUUCUUAUCAACAAUCACACAUAGAAUCCUGACAUCUGUGAAAAGGACUUGAUGCCCACAGAAGAGAAAAUGACCCAGCCAAAAACACUGGUACAGAUUCAUCAACAAAAACUGAAAGUAAAAAAAGAAGAAAAAGUGGAGAUUCUGACAGUGACAAUGACGAAAAGAAAAAAAGGACAAGCUAAAAAAGCAAACGAAGGCAUCCAACACAGAAGAGGGGCCGCCUUAAAUGGGCAGAAGAAAUGAUGCAGUUGGACGAGAGGAAGAGGGGGUAUGAGACUCGGGAGCCGAGUGAGGAAGAAAUGGAGGCUUACAGAAUGAAAAGACAGAAUGACUCCAUGGCCUCUUUCCUUGGAAUGAAUUGGGUUCUGCCCACUCAUAUCUGUGUAACUGAGCUGCAUUGCUUUAUAUUUCUUCCAUCUCUAAAUGUCAGCAUCAUGUGUAUAUUUCCUGUCUAUGGCUGCCAUUUAGAGUGAUCUGUAAAAUAAAAUGUUUUAUGGUUAAGUAUAA